CGCGAGCUGGUUCUUAAAACUUUGCUCAGAAGUGAAACACUUCGGAGAGUUCUCGUCAAGAUGGCGCUGUGAGCAGACGUUGAACUCGCCUCCUCCCACGAACACAACCAGGUUACAACAAUUUUGGGAAGAAUCACCCUGGAUUGAAAACUGAAAACUGGAUAAAAAGAACCCCCACGACAAGGGACAGUCCUGACGAAAGCAGAAGAGGCAGUACCUCCGGCCGGAGAGGAAAAAAGCCACCUUUGGGAGCAGUGGAGCUUCUCAACUGGCCAGGCAGGAGCCAACCUAAGUUGUAUAUCUUAGUUGCACUUCCUUCUAGCUGUGGGAUGUGGGACACUGCCUCAACGUGGCCUGACAAGUGGUGCCAUGUCCAGGCCCAGGAUCUGAACCCUGGGCCGCCGCAGCGGAGCACGUGAACUUAAUCACUUGGCCACGGAGCCAGC
rnacentral:lncRNA from 1 species